rnacentral:rRNA from 1 species
GAUGAACGCUGGCGGCGUGCCUAAUACAUGCGAGUAGAACGCUGAAGGAAGGAGCUUGCUCUUUCCGGAUGAGUUGCGAACGGGUGAGUAACGCGUAGGUAACCUGCCUGGUAGCGGGGGAUAACUAUUGGAAACGAUAGCUAAUACCGCAUAACAGUAGAUGUUGCAUGAUAUCUACUUAAAAGGUGCAAUUGCACCACUACCAGAUGGACCUGCGUUGUAUUAGCUAGUUGGUGAGGUAACGGCUCACCAAGGCGACGAUACAUAGCCGACCUGAGAGGGUGAUCGGCCACACUGGGACUGAGACACGGCCCAGACGCCUACGGGAGGCAGCAGUAGGGAAUCUUCGGCAAUGGACGGAAGUCUGACCGAGCAACGCCGCGUGAGUGAAGAAGGUUUUCGGAUCGUAAAGCUCUGUUGUAAGAGAAGAACGAGUGUGAGAGUGGAAAGUUCACACUGUGACGGUAUCUUACCAGAAAGGGACGGCUAACUACGUG